GUAGUUCAGAAGUCAAAUUGUGUAGCUUUACUAUUGCCCUUUCUAAAGGGGCUCAAACCUACAUAUGAAAGCAAAUCCCAAUAUGUAAGCCUUUGUGUGGUUAACAUUUCUGUCUACUCUCUCAAUAGUAUGGAUUUAAGUGAUAUUUUUCAUGGUGCCUGGAAUGAGAUGUAGUGAUUCACUGUCAUUGUUUCACAGAACUAAGAUGGCAUAAAUGCUGUGCUGAUCCUAUUUUUAGUUGCCUUCACCUGUCCUCCCAUCAUGUAACAAGUCUACAUAAGAACAUUUUAAAUAUGUGCAUCUGUUUGUGUUCCUAGUUUGUACAAGUGGAAUGACAGAGUGGAGUACCAGUUAGAGUGCAAACAACCUGCUACUUUCAUUCCUAAUAACGUCAUACUUACUAAACACUAGUUCCACUCUCUAUGCAUGUCCCACCAUUGCCACAUUUCAUUAAACUGCAGGGAGAAGCAUGACACUGGCCAACACUGCGUCCAGCAUUUGGGUGGCCCUCAGGAUUUCCCAGUCCUCUGAAAUGGCCAUCCUUCUCAGUGCGAACUUGAAGAGUGAAAAUACAGCCUUGAAGAAAUGCAAAAACACUUCGUGUUAACAAACAGAAGAAAUAGAAAAAACAAGAAGAAGAGAUUUUGCCUUUCUAUACAUCUUUAGAAAGAACUUCUCGGCCGGGAACGGUGGCUCAUGCCUGUAAUCCCAGCACUUUGGGAGGCCGAGGCGGGUGGAUCACGAGGUCAGGAGAUUGAGACCAUCCUGGCUAACAUGGUGAAACCCCAUCUCUAUUAAAAAUACAAUUAGCCGGGCGUGGUGGCGGGUGCCUGUAGUC
rnacentral:lncRNA from 10 species